UGCUCUAGUUUUAACUCUUCACAAAGUUGCUCUGAGACACGGUUUUUCCCGCCGUUGCUGCAGAAUCCAGGUCUGGAUGUUGCGCAAGUGUGUAUGAAUG